UUCUCAAUUUGGUACUCCAUACUGCACUUGUGAUCGAUAUGAUACCUCUUCAUUCACUGCUAUGAACUGAUGGAGGUCAUAAGUAAGAUUUGAACCAUGCUAAGGCACUUCCACUAAUGCCAACAAAGUAUUCUAGUCUAUUCAAAAGAGUGUUGUGGUCGAUAGUGUCGAACGCAGCGCUAAGAUCCAGUAGAACUAAUAAAGAGAUACAACCACGAUCAGAUGAUAGAAGCAGGUCAUUUGUAACUCUAAUGAGAGCAGUCUCAGUGCUAUGAUACGAUCUAAAUCCUGACUGGAAUUCCUCACAGAUAUCAUUUUUCUCUAAGAAGGAAUAUAAUUGUGAAGAUACUACCUUUUCUAGUAUCUUUGACAGAAAAGGGAGAUUCGAGAUCGGUCUGUAAUUAACUAGAUCUUUGGGGUCAAGUUGUGGUUUUUUAAUGAGAGGCUUAAUAACAGCCAAUUUGAAGGUUUUGGGGACAUAUCCUAAUGACAAUGAUGAAUUAAUAAUAGCCAAAAGAGGAUCUAUGACUUCUGGAAGCAGCUCUUUUAGUAGUUUAGAUGGAGCAGGGUCUAACAUACAUGUUGUUGGUUUAGAUGAUUUAACAAGUUUAUACAAUUCUUCCUCUCCUACAGUAGAGAAUGAAUGAAAUUGUUCCUCAGGGGAUCUAUAGUGCGCUAUCUGAUGCGAUACUGUAGCUGACGGCUGCAGGGAUACAAUUUUAUCUCUGAUAGCAUCGAUCUUGGAAGUGAAGUAGUUCAUAAAGUCAUUACUGCUGUGCUGUUGUGUAAUGUCUGCACCUGUUGAUGCUUUAUUUUUCAUUAAUUUAGUCACUGUAUUGAAUAAAUACCGGGGUUUAUGUUUGUUUUCUUCUAAAAGAGACGUAAAGUAAUCAGAUCUAGCAGCUUUUAAGGCUUUUCUGUACACUGUAAAAAAAAUCCGUAAAAAUACAGUACAAUAUACCGUAAUAAUUUGAAGGAAUUUUCCGUAUUUGGUUUUUACAGGUGUUUUUCCGUAUUUUUUUAAUUAAGCUUUGCAUUGUGGGAACAAGAAGCUCACUCGAUUAUCGGCGCGAAAACAGUCUUGAGCAGACGCUAUUAUUCACAGAGACAGUCUCGGUAAAAAAUUCAUUUUAAAGUCGGAUUUCGGGUUUGAGGAACCGUUUGUACACUUCCGUGGUAAAUUAUAUUUUGUUAAAUGUAACAAACUGUAACGUUAACUUAGUUGCUGUCUUUGCCAAAUGAAUGUCGGAGCCGUCGCAUUUGACAUUUUCAGCACACCGUCACAUCUCGACGUGGAGGUAAGUUACGUGUUACAGUGUGCUCACUUUCAGUUUUAUAAAUAAGUCUAUUAACUUUUAAUUGUUGUUGAUGCGGUGUAUUUGUUACUGCGCGUGCAGUGAAGCAUGCGGCAUGUUGUUAAAGUUACUGAGGUGAUGUUAAGCAGCUGUGAUAAAGUUAAAUCUGAAGUGUCGUACAGCUGUGUUUAGAGCGCUGUGUGCCUCCAACAGAAGCUGGCAGAGCAAUUGUCAAGAAAAAAAGAUACCAUUACGACUUUUUUUUAUUCUUUAAAAGAUAUUAUACGACUAGGUGAAGAUCUGACAUCGCGGAAUUCUUCAAGGAUAACGCAACUUUUCUGCCAAACGAGGUCGUAAUUGCUGCUGUAUUGUGCAUCCCAAGUACCCCCUGCAUUCUUAUCAAGGAUUGCUGUCAUUCAAGAACUUAUUUCCUCCCCCAUUGUGGCUGAGCUACACAUUCUCCAUUUUAUUUUAAACAUAAAACAUCCAGAGGAGAUGGCACCUACGUUGGAAUUCAUACAAAUUGUUCCUGUGAAGAAAUCCUGAACGAGGGUCGACGGUUCAGAUGAAGGGAACCUAUGCUUCCAAGACUCAUGUAUGAACAACUUUGAGAAUCCAUGUACAAUUUGAGCUUUUUUCAAAUCUCAACAUGAAACUUGGACUGAACAUGCAGCAAAAGGAAAAAAGAAGUAGUUUCCCCAAGCUGGCACAUGGCAAGAGAUACUAAAAGCACACAAACACUUGGAGCCCCGCUCUUAAUUUAGAUUGUAUAGUUCUCUUAGUUUCACAUUGAAAUGUUAGGCAUGAGUGCAUGAAUCUUUGUUCUUUAUUUUCAAAUGAUGUACAAGAGUUUUUUUUGUUUUGUUUUUUUGCAGUACCAUGUCAAUUGUAGAUGACAGAAUUCACAUUUUUGAUAAAUUAAAUAACAUUUCACUUGACUAUUGACUAGAAGUCUGUAGCAAUUGUUAUUAAUGACAGCCCUGUCUUUGUAUUAAUUUUUUCCCAUGUAUCGGAAAAUGUUUUGAAUCUUGACCGUUUCACAGUGAAGUUUGUGACCACUAUUUGGUGCAACACCAAUAUUAUACAAGUAGCUGCUCAUGUUUUCUUUUUUCUGCCUGGUGCUGUUUAAAACUAAAACACAUUGUUAAAUUAAUUGAUGUAAUAAUAUUUUUGUCUUCAUCUCUUCACAAGGCAAAUAAAAGCUAC